GACGAACGCUGGCGGCGUGCUUAACACAUGCAAGUCGAACGGAAAGGCCCUGCUUUUGUGGGGUGCUCGAGUGGCGAACGGGUGAGUAACACGUGAGUAACCUGCCCCUGACUUUGGGAUAACUUCAGGAAACUGGGGCUAAUACCGGAUAGGAGCUCCUGCUGCAUGGUGGGGGUUGGAAAGUUUCGGCGGUUGGGGAUGGACUCGCGGCUUAUCAGCUUGUUGGUGGGGUAGUGGCUUACCAAGGCUUUGACGGGUAGCCGGCCUGAGAGGGUGACCGGCGACAUUGGGACUGAGAUACGGCCCAGACUCCUACGGGAGGCAGCAGUGGGGAAUAUUGCACAAUGGGCGGAAGCCUGAUGCAGCAACGCCGCGUGCGGGAUGACGGCCUUCGGGUUGUAAACCGCUGUCGCCUGUGACGAAGCGUGAGUGACGGUAAUGGGUAAAGAAGCACCGGCUAACUACGUG
rnacentral:rRNA from 1 species